rnacentral:tmRNA from 1 species
GGGGGUGAAAGGUUUCGACCCGGAUUUUUGGUCGAGAAGCAGCAUGUAGAGGUUGCUAGGAGGCCUCUAUAAACACCUGGCAAAAACAUAAACGCAAACUACAAUCCAGUAGCCGAGGCUGAGGCAAUCUUGGCCGAGGAUGCGUUACAUGUUCCUACAUUUCUAGGAACAGCUCCAUUAGUAAGUGUCCUGGGAUACUAAUACGGAGUCCAAUUAAGCAGGAUAGCUUGGGGGCUAGUUUUCGGUCCCUAAGCGAAACUUAACGGAAAAUGCUUCUUUCUAAAUCCAGUUUACCGGAGUUAGAAAGGAAAAGAUAAAAGGCAGACUAAACAUGUAGACACUUCUCGGUUUAAAGACGGGGACCCGGGUUCAAAUCCCGGCACCUCCACCA